UUAGAAUCAUUAGUCCUCGAAUGAUGAGUUAGGGCACUUUAUGCACGAGAAAAUAAAGAAUACACCAAUAUCAAACGGCAAACCCGAAAAGUAACAAGAGGAAACAAAAUUCAUACCUUAUGCAAUUUCGUCCGCCACAGGUAACAAGAAUGGAUACUUAGCCUUCAUAUCCUCUUCAGAUUCCCAAGUAGCUUCUUCCUCCUUUUGGUUACUCCAAAAAACUUAAACCGAGGCUACAUUCUUAGAUCUCAGCCUACGAACUUACCUUUCUAAAAUCUCAACCGGGAUUUUUUCAUAAGAUAAAGAAUUCAUCACACCAACUCUCUUAAUAGGCAAAACCAAAGAAGGAUCACCCAUACAUUUCUUCAGCAUCGAAACAUGGAGCAUGGGUUAAAUGAAACCCAAACUAGAAGGCAAAUCUAAUUCAUAAACAACAUUACCCACUCUCCUCAGG
rnacentral:lncRNA from 1 species